GUCCUGAGUGCACCGAGGCUUUCAGCCUGCGGGACAGUGGUGCGAUUUGCAUUAGAGAAAGGGAGAUGCCAUGUGCUGGCCCAGCACUCCAACAGGGGCCUGACCUCUAGGAACGGGACACUGGAGGAAGCCUAGACAUUUGAACAAAUCAAGUCAUCCAGAUCCACGGUCAGCUCCUGCCCCGACUUGGCCUUCCUCCUGCUUUGCUGGCCCACGGACCUCGGGAACCUGCCCUGGCUGUGGGUGACCUGCAGGUUUUCACUUGAUCCUUUCGGGGUUUGCAUUAUAUCUGACUGAAGGAAUGAACUGGGAGAGAACAGCAGAGCCGCAGCGGAAUGUGGAAAGGCCCACGUCGAGACUGUUCCCAUUCUGUGAACAUGGAAGCUAUGAAUUGAGAUGGCAGAACCACAAGAUGGAAGUACGUUGGAUUUCUGAGUCACCACCUGGAGGAGAGCUUCCCUGCAGCAUCGCUGGAAUCUGAUAUGAACUAGAUAUUAAUC
rnacentral:lncRNA from 1 species